CACUGCACUCCAGCCUGGGCAACAGAGCGAGACUCCGUAUCAAAAAAAAAAAAAAAAAAANNNNNNNNNNAAAAAAAAAAAAAAAAAAAUUCCACUCCAUUUUCUUCUAUUUACCUGUUAGUGCUACUCCACUAAGUUAAUGUUUUUUAUUCUAGCUCUAAUUAACAAUUCUAUUUUUCAAAGAAUAAUAGAAGUUUAAGUAUCUGAAGGAUUUCAAAUAUCAAGUCCAGUGAUUUUUCAAACUUCAGGUCAUAGCCCAUUAAUGGACUAUGAAAUAAACUUAGUGAGUUGAGACUGUAUUUUAAAAAAAUGAGAUUAUUGUAUUCUAUUUCAUAUUCUAUAGAAUAUUCCAUUCUAUAAGUAGUCAAAAUAGUAAUGGAAGUGCUUUUAAGAAAUUUCAUCUGAGAUAUAUUGGUAUUUGCAUGUGUAUAUAUCAGGUGGUGCUGUAAAAUGUGAUAGGCAGAAUUCUAAAAUGGUCACCAAGAUCUCCCACCCCUCUGGUGUACAUACCUGCAGAACUCCAGGGUCUGGAAUUUAUGAUGGACUUUAUUCCUGUGAUUAGGUUGUGUGGACCUUAAGACAGAAAAAUUAUCUGGGUGAUCCUGACUCAAUAACAUGAAUUCUUUAAGAGCAGAGAGUAUUCUUGGUUGGUUGAGGCAGAGGAUCCAAAUGAAAUAGAUUUGAUGUGAAGUUCUUUACUUGAAGGUGGAGGGGGCCACAUGACAAGAAAAGCAAGUGGCCCCUAGGAGCUGAGAGUGGUCCCUGGUUGACAGCAAGCAAGGAACGGGUAGCUCAGCCCUACAAUUGAGGCGACAGACAUGUUGCAGAGGAGAGGAGGAUAUUGGUAAUUGGAGAGAGUUAUGUAGACUUUGUGAGCUUUUCUAGUCAAUUGAUUUGAGGAACUGUGCUAGCAUAGGUUUUAAAAAUGGAAAUAUGUGCCUGUCUACACUUUUAUUAAUUCUCAUUACCUGACUAUGGACAGUCUCAUUGACACCAUACUUGUUGCCUUUUAGAAAAUAAGACUUGACCAUCUGGAAAAAGGAAGCCUGAGAAUGAAUAUAUAAGAAGAGGACAUAAAAUGGUGGAAAGAGAAAGCAUGGUUUUAGCAGCCAAAUUCUGAAAUAAGGCUAAACCUACAUGGAGGCAUUUCUUCAGCUUGAAGGAAGGAAUUUAACCCAAAGACAUUGGAAAAUGACUUGACAAAGUCACACAGGAAAUUGUUGUAGGAAUUAGAACUAGAAAUCUGGUCUCCUGAUGAUCAUUUCUAGGAAUGGCUACUAAAAUAUCAAAGAAAAAGAUUUCAAUCAUCUUAAAGCAAACAGUCUCAUAUUGGAGUGGUGAGGAUGGUAAAUUUUAAAGAAAACAGGCCCUCUUUGAUGUAACACUGGUUAACCCAUUAAGCCACAGUCUCUACUAUUACAGCUUUUGGAUGUGACCAAAUCUCUCCAAAUUGAAAUAACAAGCAAGGCCAAACCAGCCACUCUCUUUUUGGGUGGAUUUGUCUACCCUACACACCACUCUUUCCCAUAUACUAGAUGUUUAGUAACUUUUGUCUCAGACUGAAGACACUAAAAGCUGCUAUUGUUCAUUAAAAAGCAAGGCCAAAGACAUGCUGGGCUAACAUGGUACACUAAAGUUGGUAAUUUGAUUUGUUUGGACUGAUUGCCUACAACUCUCUGAUUAAAUGUUAAAAUACAAAAAUUACAGGAUAUCAUUAUAUCUGGGGGAAAUAAUGUAAUGCCUGCAAAACCCAAGCCAUAUCCUAUUACUCUUCCCUAUGAAGGGCCUGGAUGUCAUUCAAUUUUUCCAAAGUAAAGCAAGGUGCAAGGUCAAAAUAGACCCACAAUGUAAUCUGUCCUCUCUCAGAAUGUAAUAACUUUACUUUCUUACUGGCUUUGUUAGUUACAGGCUAACAUCAACCACAGUCUUAACAACCUGACAGAACAGGUUCAGAGACCUGGGAGCCUGAACGGAAAAUGAAAAUAACAAAAACAAAAAAGAAGAAAGGUGCUGGCUAAACAAUGGCUAAAAUGAAAAUAGCACACAAAGUUAAAAAUUGAAAAACCUAAGAGAGAGAGAGAGAGAGAUAGUAUAUGUGUAUGUAUAUGUACGUAUAUGUAUAUUUACUUC
rnacentral:lncRNA from 1 species